UUGGUUCUUUUAUAGUUCUUCCCUCAGCCAGCUCCUUUUAUCAUUAUGUGUUUGUAAAUUAUUUAGGGUGUUUGGCUGGAAAAUAUAAAAUCAUAUAAGUGCCGACUGAUCACUAGCGAAUUUUGGGUUUACAUUAUGAGUAGGGCCUAAACAGAAAAAAUGAAAAAGUGUUGUAGACAUUUUUAUCGUCGUGUUUUGGAGCUAGCUAGUUAAUUAGCAACUGUUGUAAAGUCGCAUGGAACACUGUCUAAUCUGAUUCUGAUGGUUAAUCUUUUGUGUUUCAUCUAUUUUCCGAAUGGGUUAAUCUCUUUAGUACAGCAGAUCCAAGAACUCAUUAUACAAGUAGUUCAGCAAAAAGUGAAGGAUGUUGAAUUGUUGCCGGAGAUCCAAACGUCAUUGAAGGAUUGGGUUCCAAGAUUACAAAACCUUCUUUCAACCCGUGCUACAUGUUCCAAGAAUCAACCGGAACAGAUUUUAGCAAGUAUGAAUAAUAUAGCUUCUUCCAGAAACGAGGAACUGAUCAGUGACGCUCUUGACAUCCCAUGUACAGACAAUCUUGAUUUUAGGGUGUCUCCUUCACCCCUAGUGUCUUGGCGUGCCGACGGUGUUGCAGGGCUAGACCAACACGGUUCACGUCUAAACUAGAAAAACCAUCCAAGUCGGUACGGUAUUUAAAAAGAUAAAAGAUGAUGUUACUGUUGGGCCAAUGGAGAAUUUUUUUCACCGACUGAAAAAUGGAAAAGAAGGAUUAAGGAUUCUUUAGUCGUUAAUAAACUUGGAAAACCAAAAAAAGUGGUGGAGGAAGCACCAGGUUGGGGUAUCUGUAUCUCAUCACCACCCAAGUCUUGUAUUGUGCUGGAACCUGGUGAUGAUCUGAGUAAAGAUGUUCAAAUGAACCUGCCAAGGGCCGGUGGUUAUAAAAGUGUUGUUUCAUGCAGUGAAGAAAUGAUUGAAAGUACUCCUAUCUAUGAGGAUCUUGAUACUGAAAUUCUAAAAAACAAGUGCGCCGGUGAGAGCACUUUAAAGAAAGAACUGUGGAUUCAAUUUAAUACAACACUGCUCAGAAGUUUGAUCAAGAGACUGCCAGCAAUGGUUUGAUGGACUUAAACUCCAUUGUUUGAUUAAAGCUUGGAAGUACAUUAAUAUGUAAGCACUUGUCCAUAAUUGAUUAAUUUUGACUAUUGCAGAGUCAUAGUUCUGGUUGUUUUCUUUGACUAUUACAGAGUCAUAGUUAUGGUUGUUUUCUUUGACUAUUGCAGAGUCAUAGUUAUGGUUAGUAACAUGAAACGAUUGUGAGAUGAAUAGUCCAUAUGGGGCAAAAAGGUUAACUAGAAUGUCAAAAUAUAGAAUGUGGUAUUGGAAUAUGUAGCUCUGCAAAUUAGUUACAAGCUUGAAUCUAUUUUGAAAUGUUUGCUUC